GAUCCUGGCUCAGAUUGAACGCUGGCGGCAGGCCUAACACAUGCAAGUCGAGCGGAUGAAGAGAGCUUGCUCUCUGAUUCAGCGGCGGACGGGUGAGUAAUGCCUAGGAAUCUGCCUGAUAGUGGGGGACAACGUUUCGAAAGGAACGCUAAUACCGGAUACGUCCUACGGGAGGAAGCAGGGGACCUUCGGGCCUUGCGCUAUCAGAUGAGCCUAGGUCGGAUUAGCUAGUUGGUG
rnacentral:rRNA from 1 species